rnacentral:lncRNA from 1 species
AUAUGAAGGCUUAGAGAUCUUAUUUAAAGUUAUAAAGUUAAGCAGUAGAAAAACUAAAAAUAAUAGUGCUAAUAACACCUGUUGGGGAGGGAAAGGGAGAAAAUAUAAUUAAGCUUCCCAGAGAGCCAACUCCUAGUAGAUCUUCAGACUGAAAUGUCAGCUGGGGCCAGAGUAUGAGAGGCCUACUGGAAAGCCCUAAACCAUUCAGAACAUGGGGCUGAAGAGGACAGAGGUCAGGUCAGAGGAGGCGGGCCAAGGUUGAAAAAUGGUUCUACAGGGAACAGGAGUGGAAAAUGGAUUAAGGCAAGGGAGCCUCUCUCUAUGGGCACCACCACCAACAACCCAUGGAGGGGUUCUGCCAGGCCACUAGCAAUGUUCACUUAAAGCCCAACCUCUUCAGUCAGCUUGUGGUGCAUAGACUGGCGGCUGCCAGGGGAUAAGGAAGCAGUGGCAUUGGAAUUCAAGACUGUCUCUCUGACCUUCCUGAAUGACUCAGCAAUAUGAAGUUAAAAUCAGGUUCUUCUUUGGAAUUGGUGGCUGGCUGCUUGCUUAUGAGUGUAGACAUGUGACCCAAACACUCCUCCAUCACUGCUCUGUGGCCUCAGCUGUGAAGCUUUUCUGGAUAAGGGUCAAGGAUAUCCUCAUGACUAAAUGCCUUCCUCUUUUACUUUUGCCUUUUUACAUCUGUCUCCUCAUCGCCUGUUCACUCACUGAGACACCCGUAAGUGCCACUACAGAGAGGAGGAGAGAGCUGUGUGUGUGGAGGGUGUCUCCACACUGCCUGUGUGCAGUGUGUGCUGCAGAUGUACAGGAUUCGCUGAUCCCCAGAAGAGGACUGAAGAGAGACCAGAGCUGGGAGUAAUGUAGCCAAAAAGGAGUCAUAUCCCUGCAUCUCAGUCUUACCACCAGGGGCAUGAGAGCUGCUUGGAAAGAAAUUAGAACACUUCCCUGCUUCCCGAUGGGCAUCAGGGGCAAGGAUCCCAGCUUUUGCAUAGGACCUCAACAUUCUUUUCUCCCACUGCUGAUUUCCUUUAUACCUCUGCUUCGGCUCAUUUCUGGAAAAGUAAAAGAAAAGACAUUCAAUGCAUAGCCACAGAAGCAUGAAAUGGCAUAUUGUGUUUAGGAGCUAUGUGGACUUGUGAAUUGCUGGAAUAGUAUUGCAGAAAAUGACAUUAAUAGUCAAAAAAAAAAAAAA